rnacentral:rRNA from 1 species
GUAGGUGGCAAGCGUUAUCCGGAAUUAUUGGGCGUAAAGCGCGCGCAGGCGGUUUCUUAAGUCUGAUGUGAAAGCCCACGGCUCAACCGUGGAGGGUCAUUGGAAACUGGGGAACUUGAGUGCAGAAGAGAAAAGCGGAAUUCCACGUGUAGCGGUGGAAUGCGUAGAGAUGUGGAGGAACACCAGUGGCGAAGGCGGCUUUUUGGUCUGUAACUGACGCUGAGGCGCGAAAGCGUGGGGAGCAAACAGGGAUUAGAUACCCUGGUAGUCCACGCCGUAAACGAUGAGUGCUAAGUGUUAGAGGGUUUCCGCCCCUUUAGUGCUGCAGCUAACGCAUUAAGCACUCCGCCUGGGGAUACGGUCGCAAGACUG